rnacentral:tRNA from 2 species
GGGAGCGUCCGGGUGCCUGGUGGCCCUCGCGGCCUUCAAAGCCGUUGCGGCGCUGCAUCGCAGCGCCGGGUGGGUUCGAUUCCCAUCCGCUCCCG